rnacentral:rRNA from 1 species
UACGUAGGGUGCGAGCGUUGUCCGGAAUUAUUGGGCGUAAAGAGCUCGUAGGCGGUGUGUCACGUCGGCCGUGAAAACCUGCAGCUUAACUGUGGGCGUGCGGUCGAUACGGGUAUCACUGGAGUUCGGCAGGGGAGACUGGAAUUCCUGGUGUAGCGGUGAAAUGCGCAGAUAUCAGGAGGAACACCGAUGGCGAAGGCAGGUCUCUGGGCCGAUACUGACGCUGAGGAGCGAAAGCGUGGGGAGCGAACAGG